rnacentral:rRNA from 1 species
UACGUAGGAUGCAAGCGUUGUCCGGAAUUACUGGGCGUAAAGGGUGCGUAGGUGGUUUGUUAAGUCUGCUGUGAAAUCCCCGGGCUCAACCUGGGAAUGGCAGUGGAUACUGGCAAGCUAGAGUGCGGUAGAGGGUAGUGGAAUUCCCGGUGUAGCAGUGAAAUGCGUAGAGAUCGGGAGGAACACCAGUGGCGAAGGCGGCUACCUGGACCAGCACUGACACUGAAGCACGAAAGCGUGGGGAGCAAACAGG